AUUGAACGCUGGCGGCAUGCUUUACACAUGCAAGUCGAACGGUAACAGGACUUCGGGUGCUGACGAGUGGCGAACGGGUGAGUAAUGCAUCGGAACGUACCCAGAGGUGGGGAUAACGCAGCGAAAGCUGUGCUAAUACCGCAUGUGAUCUGAGGAUGAAAGCGGGGGACCGAGCAGCAAUGUUUGGCCUCGCGCCUUUGGAGCGGCCGAUGUCGGAUUAGCUAGUUGGUGGGGUAAAGGCCUACCAAGGCGACGAUCCGUAGCUGGUCUGAGAGGACGACCAGCCACACUGGGACUGAGACACGGCCCAGACUCCUACGGGAGGCAGCAGUGGGGAAUUUUGGACAAUGGGCGCAAGCCUGAUCCAGCAAUGCCGCGUGCGGGAAGAAGGCCUUCGGGUUGUAAACCGCUUUUGGCAGGAACGAAACGGUGUCCGCUAAUACCGGGCGCUAAUGACGGUACCUGCAGAAUAAGCACCGGCUAACUACGUG
rnacentral:rRNA from 1 species